rnacentral:rRNA from 1 species
GCGAACGCUGGCGGCAGGCUUAACACAUGCAAGUCGAGCGGGCAUUUCGGUGUCAGCGGCAGACGGGUGAGUAACACGUGGGAACGUGCCCUUCGGUUCGGAAUAACUCAGGGAAACUUGAGCUAAUACCGGAUACGCCCUUUUGGGGAAAGGCUUGCUGCCGAAGGAUCGGCCCGCGUCUGAUUAGCUAGUUGGUGGGGUAAUGGCCCACCAAGGCGACGAUCAGUAGCUGGUCUGAGAGGAUGAUCAGCCACACUGGGACUGAGACACGGCCCAGACUCCUACGGGAGGCAGCAGUGGGGAAUAUUGGACAAUGGGCGCAAGCCUGAUCCAGCCAUGCCGCGUGUGUGAUGAAGGCCUUAGGGUUGUAAAGCACUUUCGCACGCGACGAUAAUGACGGUAGCGUGAGAAGAAGCCCCGGCUAACUUCGU